GUGGGGAAUAUUGGGCAAUGGGCGCAAGCCUGACCCAGCAACGCCGCGUGAAGGAAGAAGGCUUUCGGGUUGUAAACUUCUUUUACCAGGGACGAAACAAAUGACGGGACCUGGUGAAUAAGCCACGGCUAACUACGUGCCAGCAGCCGCGGUAAUACGUAGGUGGCGAGCGUUAUCCGGAUUUAUUGGGUGUAAAGGGCGUGUAGGCGGGACAGCAAGUCAGAUGUGAAAACCAGAGGCUCAACCUCUGGCCUGCAUUUGAAACUGUUGUUCUUGAGUGUCGGAGAGGUAAUCGGAAUUCCGUGUGUAGCGGUGAAAUGCGUAGAUAUACGGAGGAACACCAGUGGCGAAGGCGGCUUUCUGGACGGUGUCUGACACUGAGGCGCGAAAGCCAGGGGAGCGAACGGGAUUAGAUACCCUAGUAGUCC
rnacentral:rRNA from 1 species